rnacentral:rRNA from 1 species
CUGGUCUUGACAUCCCAGAAAUCCCUUGGAAACUUGGGAGUGCUUCCAUUAGGAAGAAUCUGGAGACAGGUGCUGCAUGGCUGUCGUCAGCUCGUGUCGUGAGAUGUUGGGUUAAGUCCCGCAACGAGCGCAACCCUUGCCUUUAGUUGCCAGCAGUUCGGCUGGGCACUCUAAAGGGACUGCCGGUGUUAAACCGGAGGAAGGUGGGGAUGACGUCAAGUCCUCAUGGCCUUUAUGACCAGGGCUACACACGUACUACAAUGGCCGAUACAAAGGGCAGCGACAUCGCGAGGUGAAGCCAAUCCCAUAAAAUCGGUCUCAGUCCGGAUUGGAGUCUGCAACUCGACUCCAUGAAGUUGGAAUCGCUAGUAAUCGUGGAUCAGCAUGCCACGGUGAAUACGUUCCC